GCUGAUUCACUUUGUUAUACAGCAGAAGCUAACACACCAUUGUAAAGCAUUUAUACUCCAAUAAAGAUGUGAAGAAAAAAAUAGAAAAGUGACCUAAAAAAUGUACAGAUAAACUGCAUAAACAAACAUGUCCCUUCUGAUGUCAUAGAAAUGGAAAGACAAAGCUGUGGGUACAAAUCCGUCAGAAACCAGUAGUUGAAUGUUAUUUGCGCUUCUAGCAGAAAAAGAGAUCUCAUUAGAGACAGAUUAAUUUUACCACCUCAAAUUAUUCUAGAGAAAACGAACUGGGGACAAGAACAGCUGUCUCUCAGCUGCCGUACAGCUGUGGAGGUAAACCAGUGGUGAUAAGAGCAUUUGAGGGACGAAGAACUAGCAAACAACAGGCCCCCUGGCAUCCUCUGAUUCAAAUCUAUAAAAGUCUGAACUGCAUGAUGAUAGGAAGGAAGAAUCCAGGACUGGAAGGUCUACUGUGGAAGCCGUCGCAGGGUCCACUGCCUUGUUCUCACCUUCCCCACCCGGAGCCAACUUCCCAGCUCAGUGUAGCCAUCAUGCCCUGCACUACCUUUGACCCCUCUGAGGAUUCGACAGGAGGUAAAAGCUGAGCCCACUCCCUCAGAGCUAUUCCUGGAUUAAACAGUGAGCGAUCAAUAAGAUUCAUAGAUAUGCCCUCAGGAACCACAGAAGGCUGCUUUAGUAGGUGACUUUGGGAAGUGAUACCAAGGCUGCCAUUGCAGUAUAGGAAGAUUCCGGGAUGAGUAUUGGAAGCAAGUGGCCAUCUCCUCCAUGCAGGUUGAGGAGGAGACUGUUGCAACCUUUCUGCAAAAGUUUCUAUGAAGCAAGAAGCAACUUAGAUAAACUACAUAAAUGAACCAGAAGCAGGAAGAACUGGUGCUUAAUAUAAACCCACAGAGGCAGCCUAGUCCACAUCAAAAUGGGGAUCCAGUCUCUCCACUGAAGACAAAGGUACCAGAAACUCGAUGCUAUCAGGCCCAAGAAUUGGCCAGGAAAGGUCUCAACACAGACAGGAUCACUCAGAGAAACACCUCCAAACGCUUGCUGAACAGCUGCCCUGUGCCUGGCUCUAGACAGUUCCUGGGUUAGAAGGGAAGGAGCCACAGUCCCUGCAGGGAGGACCACACAUUCUCGACCAGAACAAAGGCAAGUGCUGGUUUUAGCUCAAUAAUAGAAGAUAUGGCUUCUGGGGUUUCAAAACCUAUGGUUCAACUUUUCACAUUGCGCUUUUCUUCCUGGGGCAACAACUUGCUGAGCACAUCUCUUCCUAAAUUCCAAGACAGGCUGCUUGCUCUACUCAGUCAAGACUGCCAACUCAAGAAACAUUUUUGAAAGAUCACAGUCAGCAUCACUGCCAAGAGAAGAAGUUCUUGGCACAAAAAGGACCUGUUUCAAUAUGAGAUGCCAGAUGGUGAUUUCAACUUCAGCUAAAUUCCUGCUGAAAAAAAGUGUUUGAGCUGCAGAUGAGAAAAGCUUCUAUGACAAAUUUCCAAGUGUUAGAAGCUUCAGAAGGAAAUGGCAAGUGUUGAUAUACUCCCCUCCCAACCACAUGCACACACACCAUAGAACUACUACCUGCAUCUGGUAGCUAAGAUUCCUACAAAGAUGCCUUUGCUUUUUAAGAA